rnacentral:rRNA from 1 species
AACGAACGCUGGCGGCGUGCCUAACACAUGCAAGGCGUACGAGAAAGUCCCCGCAAGGGGAUGAGUAAAGUGGCGCACGGGUGAGUAACGCGUGGGUAACCUACCCUUAAAUUGGGGAUAACUCCGCGAAAGCGGGGCUAAUACCGAAUAAUACCCCAUUUUCCUUGGAGAAUGGGGUCAAAGAUGGCCUCUGCGUGCAAGCUAUUGUUUAAGGAUGGGCCCGCGUACCAUUAGCUUGUUGGUAGGGUAAUGGCCUACCAAGGCUGCGAUGGUGAGAUGGUCAGAGAGGAUGGCCAGCCACACUGGAACUGAGACACGGUACAGACUCCUACGGGAGGCAGCAGUGGGGAAUCUUGCGCAAUGGGGGAAACCCUGACGCAGCAACGCCGCGUGGGUGAUGAAGGCCUUCGGGUCGAAAAGCCCUGUCAAGUGGAAAGAAACGUGACAAUGCUAAUAUCAUUGUCAUUUGACGGUACCACUGGAGGAAGCACCGGCUAACUCCGUGCCAGCCGCCGCGGUAACAC